rnacentral:rRNA from 1 species
GUGGGGAAUAUUGGGCAAUGGGCGCAAGCCUGACCCAGCAACGCCGCGUGAGGGAAGAAGGCUUUCGGGUUGUAAACCUCUGUCCUUGGUGACGAAGAAAGUGACGGUAGCCAAGGAGGAAGCCCCGGCUAACUACGUGCCAGCAGCCGCGGUAAUACGUAGGGGGCGAGCGUUGUCCGGAAUUACUGGGCGUAAAGGGUGCGUAGGUGGCUUUUUAAGUUGGAUGUGAAAUACCCGGGCUUAACUUGGGGGGUGAAUCUAAUACUGGGAGGAUAGAGUGCAGGAGAGGGAAGCGGAAUUCCUAGUGUAGCGGUGAAAUGCGUAGAUAUUAGGAGGAACACCAGUGGCGAAGGCGGCUUUCUGGACUGUAACUGACACUGAGGCACGAAAGCGUGGGGAGCAAACAGGAUUAGAUACCCGGGUAGUCC